UUUUCGUAGUCCUAGCUAACGUGAAUUAUUUGUGGCAAAAUACACAAUAUAAGGAGAACUAGAUUUUUUAUUUUUAUUAAUUUUUCUUUAAGUAGGAGUCCUGGCUUAAAACUACGUUUUAUUUCCAUAUUACCCUAGAAUUCUUUUUUUUGUCGUAAAUCUAUAGAUUGUGUGUACAUUUUUUCUUCCUACGAGUGUUUAUAAUAUGUAUUUUUGUGUGAAUUUCGUGGGGCUGUUCUGAGGUUAUUGAGGUUUAAAGCUGAUUGAUGUGUUUACAUUGGUUACAGGUCCAAGGAGAAGAAAAUGUCUCACAGGAAGUUCGAGCAUCCAAGACAUGAAUUUUUGGGAUUUCUCCCCAGGAAGCGUGCUGCCAGACACAGGGGAAAGGCAGUGAAGUCAUUCCCAAAGAAUGACCAAAGCAAGCCUUGCAAGCUCACUGCAUUCCUUGGGUACAAGGCUGGAAUGACUCACAUCGUGAGAGAAGUUGAAAACCCUCAAUGGGAUGCUUAUGAUGUUAGAGAUGCUUGACAACUCAUUAGUGCAAUGAAAAGGUGCCAAAUAGAUGAUGAUUACCUUCAAGGAGGAUCGAGGGGACCUCAAAGGUCAAAGGAGUGCGAGACGGGACUAAAAAGUCCAAUGGAGGUGACACAUGCCCCAUCUGCUCUAAAGAAGCGCCCAACCUGCUCCACACCUGCUUGAGAAGUGCUCAAACAGAUGCCAAAGCAGGCUGCCAUACUUUCUUGUUGCAAAUGGAAUUCUUCCUUUAUUUGCUUUCAAUUUCAUUCUUUGGGAUUCUAAUGUUCAUUGAAUUCCCAAAAUCUAUAAAAUAUUCACUUCUAUU